rnacentral:tRNA from 1 species
GAGGGUAUAGCUCAAGCGGUAGAGUGCAUGCUUAUCACGCAUGAGGUCCUGGGUUCAAUUCCCAGUACCUCCU